GCCCGGGUGGUGAAACUGGUAGACACAAGAGACUUAAAAUCUCUCGGCGAAAGCUGUGCCGGUUCGAUUCCGGCCCCGGGCACCA
rnacentral:tRNA from 1 species